UACGGAGGGUGCAAGCGUUAUCCGGAUUCACUGGGUUUAAAGGGUGCGUAGGUGGGUCUGUAAGUCCGUGGUGAAAUCUCCGAGCUUAACUUGGGAACUGCCAUGGAUACUAUAGGUCUUGAAUACUGUGGAGGUCAGCGGAAUAUGUCAUGCAGCGGUGAAAUGCUUAGAUAUGACAUAGAACACCAAUUGCGAAGGCAGCUGGCUACACAAAUAUUGACACUGAUGCACGAAAGCGUGGGGAUCAAACAGG
rnacentral:rRNA from 1 species